rnacentral:rRNA from 1 species
CAGAUUGAACGCUGGCGGCAGGCCUAACACAUGCAAGUCGAGCGCUUCCCUUCGGGGAGGAGCGGCGGACGGGUUAGUAACGCGUGGGAAUAUACCCAGUUCUAAGGAAUAGCCAUUGGAAACGAUGAGUAAUACCUUAUACGCCCUUCGGGGGAAAGAUUUAUCGGAGAAGGAUUAGCCCGCGUUAGAUUAGGUAGUUGGUGGGGUAAUGGCCUACCAAGCCUACGAUCUAUAGCUGGUUUUAGAGGAUGAUCAGCCACACUGGGACUGAGACACGGCCCAGACUCCUACGGGAGGCAGCAGUGGGGAAUAUUGCACAAUGGGGGAAACCCUGAUGCAGCCAUGCCGCGUGUGUGAAGAAGGCCUUCGGGUUGUAAAGCACUUUCAGUUGUGAGGAAAAGUUAGUAGUUAAUACCUGCUAGCCGUGACGUUAACAACAGAAGAAGCACCGGCUAACUCCGUGCCAGCAGCCGCGGUAAUACGGAGGGUGCGAGCGUUAAUCGGAAUUACUGGGCGUAAAGCGCACGCAGGCGGUUUGUUAAGCUAGAUGUGAAAGCCCCGGGCUCAACCUGGGAUGGUCAUUUAGAACUGGCAGACUAGAGUCUUGGAGAGGGGAGUGGAAUUCCAGGUGUAGCGGUGAAAUGCGUAGAUAUCUGGAGGAACAUCAGUGGCGAAGGCGACUCCCUGGCCAAAGACUGACGCUCAUGUGCGAAAGUGUGGGUAGCGAACAGGAUUAGAUACCCUGGUAGUCCACGCCGUAAACGAUGUCUACUAGCCGUUGGGACUCUUGAAGUCUUAGUGGCGCAGCUAACGCACUAAGUAGACCGCCUGGGGAGUACGGCCGCAAGGUUAAAACUCAAAUGAAUUGACGGGGGCCCGCACAAGCGGUGGAGCAUGUGGUUUAAUUCGA